GACGAACGCUGGCGGCGUGCUUAACACAUGCAAGUCGAGCGGUAAGGCCCUUUCGGGGGUACGACGAGCGGCGAACGGGUGAGUAACACGUGGGUGACCUGCCCUCAGCUCUGGGAUAAGCCUGGGAAACUGGGUCUAAUACCGGAUAUGACUCCAUGACGCAUGUUGUGGGGUGGAAAGCCUUGUGCGGCUGAGGAUGGGCCCGCGGCCUAUCAGCUUGUUGGUGGGGUGAGGCCUACCAAGGCGACGACGGGUAGCCGGCCUGAGAGGGCGACCGGCCACACUGGGACUGAGACACGGCCCAGACUCCUACGGGAGGGCAGCAGUGGGGAAUCUUGCGCAAUGGGCGAAAGCCUGACGCAGCGACGCCGCGU
rnacentral:rRNA from 1 species